rnacentral:lncRNA from 1 species
AUGCCAGUUCUGACACCAGCUGCAGAAGAAAUGUACCUGAAUGUUCAGGUCAAUCCAUCUUUGAACACUUUCUCUCUCCUUAAUGGGCAGUUUGGAAAAAUUAAUGAUCUGUUCCAGAGUAGCUGGGAUUUCUUUUUAUUCUGCAUUCUCAAGAGAAGCAUCCAACACAUGGCAGGAGGAACAGAGUUAAAAAGAAGAAAGAUUUGCUGCUAAAGUCAAGAAACUUGGAUAUUUAUUACUUAGCACGGACCAACCCUCCAAACUGGUAUUAAAAGACUGAGGUGUAGAAACAGCUGAAAUCAGCUCUGGCAGUACAUCACAUUUCUUUUAGUGAACUGAAGCAGCAGCUCAGGUGAGCAUCAUCUGCAUUCUUGUUUCCAGAUUCAAUCCUAUGUUUUUAUAGAUAACUAUACAGAUGCAAAGACUCAUAGCUUAUUUUGAAAAAAGCUAUGAGGAUCUUUCCAAGUCUACCUCAGUAAUUCAGGAUAUUUGGUGACAUGUGAAAUAGGUGACUUCACUUAUCUUUGGCUUUACAGAGGCAGAAGGACAGUUUAACACCUGCUCAGACUCACUGCAGGACUAUAUUAAUAUUUACAUGUUAAUAUUACUAAAUAGCAAUCUCAAAUUAAUCACCACAUUAAUGAAGAGCCUUUUCUGAGAUUGUAAAUUCUAUUUUGUUCACUUUUGCUGCUUUUGUAUCUGCUGAAUGCCAGCUCCCCCUUUUCCAUGGGGUAGGAUUGGAGGGCCUGUACUCUGUUGUAAUAACUUUCUCCUGUUUGAAAUGCCAUUAUUUCUGGUCUGUUUUUAGAUGAUGAAGGAUAGACACUGCGAUGGGCACUAAAGCACGGACUUGCAGUGUGCACUCUGAUGGCAGGUACUCCUGUCUGGUCCUGGUGGUCUGACAUACCUGGGGAAGGCUUAGGCGCUUGUGUGUCUUAACUGUGGUUUUCUCCAUUUAUUAAUUUUAGUGUUGAUUGAAAUGUUUGUCUUUAUUUAUAGCAUAUUCAAGAGCUGUGUCGCAACAGAGAAGGUAAGUUGACAGGUGGGGGCCAGGGGAGGAAUGAGUUGAUGGCCAAGCUCUGGAUAGUUAAUCUUUUCUGGGUUUUUUUAUGAUACAAUCCUUAAAGUUUUAUGGACAGCUGUCAAAUUGAUCAGACAGCUGCCGAAACCAUUAUAAAAACAAUUUGAGAAUUAGAUUUUUAACUGUUUCUGAAGUAUUUAUUUAUCCUUCAAGAUGUAGACAGAUGCAAAGUCACCAUUCUGUUCAGUGAGAUAUUUUUCCUGUUCAUUUUCUUGAUUGAGAAUUACUGUUAGUGUAGCGCUUGUUGCUAGAAACCAUUGAGCUGGUCAUGCUCAUUUUUCUCUGCGGUGAGCUUGUGCUCUCCUGCUGUGAGCUCAUGCUCUCCUCUCUGUGAUGGGGGAGUGCUGGUUGCUGUUAGCUGUGCUCUAAAGACAAGAAUUCCAGGGUGAGGUCAAGUUUAGGUCGUGUUUGUUCUGAAGCCCAAUAAAAACAUUAGCUACUAUAUAUCUUGAUUCUCU